AGUUGUUCUCAGUUCGGAUUGUAGUCUGCAACUCGACUACAUGAAGCUGGAAUCGCUAGUAAUCGUAGAUCAGCAUGCUACGGUGAAUACGUUCCCGGGUCUUGUACACACCGCCCGUCACACCACGAGAGUUUGUAACACCCGAAGCCGGUGGAGUAACCUUUUAGGAGCUAGCCGUCGAAGGUGGGACAAAUGAUUGGGGUGAAGUCGUAACAAGGUAGCCGUAUCGGAAGGUGCGGCUGGAUCA
rnacentral:rRNA from 1 species